rnacentral:rRNA from 1 species
AUUGAACGCUGGCGGCAGGCCUAACACAUGCAAGUCGAGCGAGCGGCGGACGGGUGAGUAAUGUAUGGGGACUGCCCGAUAGAGGGGGAUAACUACUGGAAACGGUGGCUAAUACCGCAUACUAUCGGAUAACCCAUAUGGGAUUAGCUAGUAGGUGGGGUAAAGGCUCACCUAGGCGACGAUCUCUAGCUGGUCAUAGAGUAUGAUCGGCGACCUUGGGCCUGAGACACUGCCCAGACUACUACGGAGGCAGCAGUGGGGAAUAUUGCACAAUGGGCGCAAGCCUGAUGCAGCCAUGCCGCGUGUAUGAAGAAGGCCUUAGGUUUGUAAAGUACUUUCAGCGGGGAGGCGUUACCCGCAGAAGAAGCACCGGCUAACUCCGUGCCAGCCGCCGCGGUAAUUA